rnacentral:tRNA from 1 species
AAAAAGGUAAGCUAACUAAGCUACCGGGUUCAUACCCCGCCUAUAAGAGUUUCAAUCUCUUCCUUUUUA